AGCCGCCUACGGGGGGCAGCAGUGAGGAAUAUUGGUCAAUGGGCGGAAGCCUGAACCAGCCAAGUCGCGUGAGGGAGUAAGGCCCUACGGGUCGUAAACCUCUUUUGCCGGGGAGCAAGGGCGGGGACGUGUCCCGGCCCGGAGAGUACCCGGAGAAAAAGCAUCGGCUAACUCCGUGCCAGCAGCCGCGGUAAUACGGAGGAUGCGAGCGUUAUCCGGGUUUAUUGGGUUUAAAGGGUGCGUAGGCGGGCCUUUAAGUCAGCGGUAAAAACUCGGGGCUCAACUC
rnacentral:rRNA from 1 species